UCCUGGUGGGGACCUGCGGAGGACAUUA
rnacentral:rRNA from 1 species